rnacentral:rRNA from 1 species
CUCCCGUCCUGUCCCCUGUCCUCUCCUUAAAACUCUCCGCCCCACGCCAGCUCUCACCGCACCGCCGCACAACCGCACCGGCAAAGAAACCGAGGCGACACGUGCUCUGCUCCGGGACUCCGAACCAUCCCAUUCGAUCCGUGCACAGCCGUAGAGGAGAGGAGAGGAAAGGAAGACCGACCACCGGCGAUGUAUUUCCGGCCGCCGCCCAAGGGCCCCGAGUGGGGCGGCGACGCGGAGGCCGGGCAGGCGGCGCGGCCGCUGUACCCGAUGAUGCUGGAGAGCCCGCAGCUGCGCUGGGCCUUCGUCCGCAAGGUGUACACCAUCCUCUCCAUCCAGAUGCUGCUCACCAUCGCCGUCGCCUCCGUCGUCGUCUUCGUGCGCCCCGUCGCGCUCUUCUUCGUCUCCUCCCCCGCCGGCUUCGGGCUCUACAUCUUCCUCAUCAUCCUCCCCUUCAUCGUGCUGUGUCCUCUGUACUACUACUACCAGCGGCACCCGGUGAACCUGCUGCUGCUGGCGCUCUUCACGGUGGCCAUCAGCUUCGCGGUGGGGCUCACCUGCGCCUUCACCAAGGGGGAGGUGAUCCUGGAGUCGGCGAUCCUGACGGCGGUGGUGGUGGUGAGCCUGACGGCGUACACGUUCUGGGCGGCGAGGCGCGGGCACGACUUCAGCUUCCUGGGCCCGUUCCUGUUCGCGGCGGUGAUGAUCCUCAUGGUGUUCGCGCUCAUCCAGGCCUUCUUCCCGCUGGGCCGCAUCUCGCUGAUGGUCUACGGCGGGCUGGCGGCGCUCGUCUUCUGCGGCUACAUCAUCUACGACACCGACAACCUCAUCAAGCGCUACUCCUACGACGAGUACGUCUGGGCCGCCGUCGCGCUCUACCUCGACGUCAUCAACCUCUUCCUCUCCCUGCUCACCCUCUUCAGGGCAUCCGAUUCCUGAAGUGCCUGCAUCUCCCGCCGUAGCGUAGCGUAGCCCCUCCUCCUAUCCUACUCUAGUAAUCCUUCCCCUGCCGUUACAUCACGAAUGUGCUUUGCUUGUGUGUGAAACAAUUUAUUGUAAAUUAGUUUUGACUUGUUUUUACAUAAUUUGGUCUAUGUGACUUUGUAGGCUGCCAAUAUCAAGAUUGCUGAAUGGAAUGAAAUUCAGGAGCUGCUGCUGUUAGCUUGGGCUCUGUUUUAGCUGUGCCGCGUCUGCCUCUGGUAAAAUGUUCUGCAUGUUCUCUUGGCAUCCAUCGUCUUAUCUUGAGGCUUGGGCGAGUUGUCGUCGACGCUAGAUGCGGGGUGAGGAAGCCAGGAACAGAAUCAUGUGCUCCUGCGUUCCUGGGCGUGUGCGCUUGGGCCAUCUAGAAUACGAGUAGGUGGGACUGGGCGCCCAUGACUGGUUCCGAUUCUGUCGAGCGAGAUCGAACUACCGUGGGGCAAGUUCAGUACCUGGCAUGUGUCGUUCGUAAAAUACUGUACCAGUAGUAUACGUAGCGCCGGCGAACCAACAUGGAGGAACAGUGGUAUUCCCAGCCCUGGUCUGAAGGAACAGUGGUAUUCCCAGCCCACCAGGGCUUAAGUCCUGGUGUGCUCGCAUUAUUUUUUGAUUUAUUUCAGGAUUUCCGGCGAUGCGCUUUUAGCGGGAGGAUGAUGCUUGCAUUAUUUCUAGAUUUAUUUCAGGAUUUCCGGC